AUUGAACGCUGGCGGCAGGCCUAACACAUGCAAGUCGAGCGAGCGGCGGACGGGUGAGUAAUGUCUGGGAAACUGCCUGAUGGAGGGGGAUAACUACUGGAAACGGUAGCUAAUACCGCAUACCAUCAGAUGUGCCCAGAUGGGAUUAGCUAGUAGGUGGGGUAACGGCUCACCUAGGCGACGAUCCCUAGCUGGUCUGAGAGGAUGACCAGCCACCCUGGUAAUGAGCAACGGUCUAGACUCCGACGGGAGGCAGCAGUGGGGAAUAUUGCACAAUGGACGCAAGCCUGAUUCAGCCAGGCCGCGUGUGUGAAGAAGGCCUUCGGGUUGUAAAGCACUUUCGGCGGGGAGGCGGUACCCUAAGAGGAAGCACCGGCUAACUCCGUGCCAGCCGCCGCGGUAAUUC
rnacentral:rRNA from 1 species